rnacentral:rRNA from 1 species
GACGAACGCUGGCGGCGUGCUUAACACAUGCAAGUCGAACGGUAAGGCCCUUCGGGGUACACGAGUGGCGAGCGGGUGAGUAACACGUGGGUGAUCUGCCCUGCACUUCGGGAUAAGCCUGGGAAACUGGGUCUAAUACCGGAUAGGACCACUGCCUGCAUGGGUGGUGGUGGAAAGCUUUUGCGGUGUGGGAUGGGCCCGCGGCCUAUCAGCUUGUUGGUGGGGUGAUGGCCUACCAAGGCGACGACGGGUAGCCGGCCUGAGAGGGUGACCGGCCACACUGGGACUGAGAUACGGCCCAGACUCCUACGGGAGGCAGCAGUGGGGAAUAUUGGACAAUGGGCGCAAGCCUGAUGCAGCGACGCCGCGUGAGGGAUGACGGCCUUCGGGUUGUAAACCUCUUUCAGCACCGACGAAGCGCAAGUGACGGUAGGUGCAGAAGAAGGACCGGCCAACUACGUGCCAGCAGCAGCCGCAG